GACGAACGCUGGCGGCGUGCCUAAUACAUGCAAGUAGAACGCUGAGGAGAGGAGCUUGCUCUUCUUGGAUGAGUUGCGAACGGGUGAGUAACGCGUAGGUAACCUGCCUUGUAGCGGGGGAUAACUAUUGGAAACGAUAGCUAAUACCGCAUAACAAUGGAUGACACAUGUCAUUUAUUUGAAAGGGGCAAUUGCUCCACUACAAGAUGGACCUGCGUUGUAUUAGCUAGUAGGUGAGGUAAUGGCUCACCUAGGCGACGAUACAUAGCCGACCUGAGAGGGUGAUCGGCCACACUGGGACUGAGACACGGCCCAGACUCCUACGGGAGGCAGCAGUAGGGAAUCUUCGGCAAUGGGGGCAACCCUGACCGAGCAACGCCGCGUGAGUGAAGAAGGUUUUCGGAUCGUAAAGCUCUGUUGUAAGUCAAGAACGGGUGUGAGAGUGGAAAGUUCACACUGUGACGGUGGCUUACCAGAAAGGGACGGCUAACUACGUG
rnacentral:rRNA from 1 species